rnacentral:rRNA from 1 species
UACAGAGGUCUCAAGCGUUGUUCGGAUUCAUUGGGCGUAAAGGGUGCGUAGGCGGCGCGGUAAGUCGGGUGUGAAAUCUUGGAGCUUAACUCCGAAACUGCAUUCGAUACUGCCGUGCUUGAGGACUGGAGAGGAGACUGGAAUUUACGGUGUAGCGGUGAAAUGCGUAGAUAUCGUAAGGAAGACCAGUGGCGAAGGCGGGUCUCUGGACAGUUCCUGACGCUGAGGCACGGAAGGCC